GGCUUUGAGCAGUGGCAGUAUCGUAGCCAAUGAGGUUUAUCCGAGGCGUGAUUACUGCUAAUUGAAAAUUUUCCCAUUUAAGAAUGGUCUUGAUGAAGCAGCAACAUGAUGGAUUUUAUUACCGAGUUUAUACUU
rnacentral:snRNA from 1 species